CAUCACUAUAACUAAUCGGUUGUUGCUCAAAAUUUGUAUUUCCCCAAUUCAAUUUUGAGUAGUUUUGGGUUGCCAAUAUACAAAAGCGAACUAAAUGUCGAUUAUUCAUGCUCUGUAUAAAAAGUUUGCUGUUGUUGGAAUGCUUUAGGCGGGGAUGUCAAAGCAAAACAUUUUUUAAGACACUCAUAGUGUGUCACGAUGAUUUCAAUUUUUCAUCUUUUUUACGUCGAAAUCAUCAUAAAUAGCUUACAAAAGGAAUAUUGUCCACACAGUUGUUUCCCAUAAUCGACCUUUACCGCACCCGGAAGAGGCCAUCGAGUGUGUUCAAAGCUUGGAAAAUGGACAGUUGCGCGAUGGCUGGGGAAAGUUGAUAGAGUGCAUCGGGAGGUCCGAGGUUUUUUUUAAUUAUUGCGGACCACAGCCGUACGGUCAUUUUUUCUUUCGAAAAUUUACCUCAAAAUGAGCGCAGAAAGUCUCCGAAUAGGAAGAAGGGAACCAAACGAGAUGUGCUUAUCAUCUAAUCGGAGCAGCCACUACUAAAGCACUUGGGAAUGGAUCCCGCAGAAAAUCCCUAACAGCGACGGAAACCAUCAUCUGGGAGACAGUUUUCUGGAAGGCCAAAACAAAAAAAUAUCAACUGGCAUGAUGAAACAGGUUAGUUUUAUUUGAUAUAUUUUUACAUGAAUUAAUUCAUUCUAAUCCUGCUCUGUGCAUGAUGUUUCCUAUUUGGUUGAAAAUCUAAAUUUUUGGUUUACAGUUCAGCACCCUAUGGUUUAAGUUUUGAGACUAGUGUUUAAUUUCAUUUCGAGUUUAACUAUCUUAGACUUUUUUUUAACAUCAUUCAGCAAUUUUAAAUUUGAUUAC